UACGUAGGGUGCGAGCGUUAAUCGGAAUUACUGGGCGUAAAGCGUGCGCAGGCGGUUUUGUAAGCCAGAUGUGAAAGCCCCGGGCUCAACCUGGGAAUGGCAUUUGGGACUGCAAGGCUGGAGUUUGGCAGAGGAGACUGGAAUUCCCGGUGUAGCAGUGAAAUGCGUAGAUAUCGGGAGGAAUACCGAUGGCGAAGGCAGGUCUCUGGGCUAUAACUGACGCUCAUGCACGAAAGCGUGGGGAGCGAACAGG
rnacentral:rRNA from 1 species